rnacentral:rRNA from 1 species
AGCGGGAUUCAGUUGUCUUCGGAUGAUUGAUGAGAGCGGCGGACGGGUGAGUAACGCGUACACGACCUACCUUUGACUGGGGGAUAGCCCUGGGAAACUGGGAUUAAUACCGCAUAUUUAUUCUGAUUAAUAAAGGAUUUGGAAUGAAAGUUCAGGCGGUCAAAGAUGGGUGUGCGUCUGAUUAGCUAGUUGGUAGGGUAACGGCCUACCAAGGCGAUGAUCAGUAGGGGGCGUGAGAGCGUGAUCCCCCACACGGGUACUGAGACACGGACCCGACUCC